CUCUCCACCCUUUCGCCCGCCUGGGCGGUCCAGCUGCCCCUAGGGGCCAACUCCAGCGGCUAUUUUGGGGCUGGACAUCCCGCAGCUUUUCAAGGCGUGCCUUUGGUUUUUUUAAGAAGUGCUAUCUAAAGGAAAAGCUGGACUAUGACUCUGGGGAACUUUCAUAUCCUCAGUUGACCUUAGGCUGUGUGACCUUGAGCAGGUAGCAUAACCUCUCUGAGUUUCCCGCGUGCCUUAUGUGCAGAUUGAGAUGCUAAAAUGAGAGAGCUAAAUUGGAAAGCUUUUUCCACAUAGGGGGCCGUGAGCAGGUGGCUGUUUUGUCCUCUGGCACCUUUGGCUCAGACUUAAGCAGCUUCAACGACCGCCAAGAUGCCUGCCAUGCCCACCAAGAUUUAAAGGACUCUGAUAAUUCUUUCUCUCCCCAAACGGUGUUUUCCUUAUCUAAUCCUAAUAACCAAGCCUGGAGGAAUCCCUGACUUCGUGAUUGAAGGCUCUCCAGGUCCCCUAGUUUAAGGGCAGAGAUUUACUUUCUCUGAGGCUACAAAGGAGCGUCUGCGAGAAUGUCUCUACCUUAGACAAAACAGGGAGGAGGGGUGGAGCUCUCCAAAUUGCCUCUGGUUUGGGCUUUUUCUUUCUGUUUUGGUGUAUCGUCUCUGGCCAACAACACCUGUGAGUCCUUGAUGUGACGAUUAGGGAAGAUGUUUUUAAUUCACAUAACUAUUCUUUAGAGAAAAUUGAUCCUGAAACACCUUAUUGCCUUAUCGUAGAAUGACUGCAUUACUCAGAAUUCUUUACCUCUACCGGAAUUUAGUGAAGGGAAGGCACAACGUACAUUAGGAAAAUACAGGACACACUCCAGUCCUUAAACCUUCCACAAUCUUCUAGCUCUUUAAGGUCGAGUGUGAUCCUCCCCAGAACUGCAUCUUCCAGGAAGCUCAUGAGAAAGGAAGGAUCCCAGGUCCCAUCUCUGAUCUGAGUCGGCAUCUGCGUUUUAACAGAAUCCUGAAGCAGUGGUCUAACUCCUUUGGUGGUGUUAUUGUUUGCAUGUAUACCUCCAAAAUUCACAUAUUGAAAUACUAACCCCCAAGGUGAUAGUAUUAGGAGGUGGGGCCUUUGGGAGGUAAUUAAGUCAUGAGGGUGAAGCCCUCAUGAAUGGGAUUAGUACUCUUAGAAAAGGGACCCCAGAGAGGUCUCUUUCCACCAUGUAAGGAUAAAAGUACACGGAGAAGAUGGCAAUCUGCAAACUGGAAAAGGGCCCUCCUCAGAACCUGACCAUCUUGGCACCUUGAUCUCAGACUUCCAUCUUCCAGAACUGUGAGAAAUAAAUUUCUUUUAUAAACACUCAGUCAAUGCUACUUUAUUAUAGCAGCCUGAAUGGAUUAAGACAGGUGGUCUGGUUUAAAGUGAUGUGGUGGCAUCAGAAGUUUAAGGAGAGACUGGAUUUACAGAACCAGAAUCUGGGAUGCUGUUUACAGAGCAAGUUAUUUCCUGCAUUUGGACACUGUCAGCAGGUCGAUUCAGGAGACAGGUGAAAACUUUAUCACCGGGCAGCCUGGAUGAACACCACAACUUUGAUAUCUUUCACUUAAAGGAAAGAUAAGGGCAUCCACUAUUUCUACACCUGGCUGGCAGAGUGAGAGCUCACCAAAGAUGAGACUGUCCAGUUGCAGGAAAACAAGCUCAGGGCUCCCACUG
rnacentral:lncRNA from 1 species